rnacentral:rRNA from 1 species
AUUGACGCUGGCGGCAUGCCUUACACAUGCAAGUCGAACGCGAAAGUAGGGGCAACCCUGCGAGUAGAGUGGCGAACGGGAGAGUAAUGCAUCGGAACAUUUCCAGUAGCGGGGGAUAACCUCGAGAAAUCGAGGCUAAUACCGCAUACGUCCUACGGGAGAAAGCGGGGGACCGCAAGGCCUCGCACUAUUGGAGUGGCCGAUGCCGGAUUAGCUAGUUGGCGGGGUAAAAGCCCACCAAGGCGACGAUCCGUAGCUGGUCUGAGAGGAUGAUCAGCCACACUGGGACUGAGACACGGUCCAGACUCCUACGGGAGGCAGCAGUGGGGAAUUUUGGACAAUGGGCGCAAGCCUGAUCCAGCCAUGCCGCGUGAGUGAAGAAGGCCUUCGGGUUGUAAAGCUCUUUCGGCCGGGACGAAAUCGCACCCUUUAAUACGGGGUGUGGAUGACGGUACCGGAAGAAGAAGGACCGGCUAACUACGUGCCAGCAGCCGCAGUAA